GGGCAUGAGGGAAAGCCUACAAUAUUACGUUUUUCUAAGUAGUGAGAAUGCUCAGGAGCAGGAAAUGUAGAAACAUUUUGACAUGUUGUACUUAAAUGUAGUUUUGUAAUUGACAAAAUCAAGCAGAAAACAAGAAGAUUGAGUUUAAAAAAGGUGAAGUUUUUGUGUGUGACAAAAGGGUAACCUAGCGAGGCAACCACAUGUUGUUUUCCCCAAAGGCGGGCUGGUUGUGACUAUCUAUCUAAUUCCGACUGGGACUCAUUCCAGCAUGAUGAUGCAAGAGGACAAUGGUUGAACCAAUAAGCACAUUAUUUUUCAUUUUAUUAAGUGUGGAGUCUAUGUUGAGGUGAGGGGACUAUGUUUCAUGAAGCCAUUAGAAGACUGUUGCUGACCUCUUUUGAAUGCAGGUGAUGGGCAGAGAGCUGACAGAGAGGAAUCUGGCAGUAACCUAACUAUCAGAUGCAGAGAAUCUCUCUUUCCCUGCUAGUGACAACUGGAUGAACCAGCCAGGCUGUAUUGUUCCAUAAAGAAGUCAACCUUAGUUGGUAUCAAGAUUGACGUGGGCUAUCAUUCAAACUAUGAGAUGCCUCCCCAGCCACCCGUGCAUAUUUCCAAAAUAUUUUAGCAUAUAAUGACAACAAAAUCUGGCCUUUAUUUAAUUGUUUAUUAUAUUAUUAUAUUCUUAGCUAAAAAUAUUACUAUUUAUUAGUAGUAACCAUAAUGUAACCAUAUGUCACCUAUACGCUGGGAGUCAGGAAGCAGGUACAGAAGGUGAGUUUGAUAAUGAAGAAUGCAGAUAAAUAAAACAUGAGAAGCGUACAGAUCGUGAAUGAAAACAAACCAAUACUGCCUGAUGACUGAGGCUACUGAGGGCUAAAUAAGGGAAGGUAAUCAAUGUGAUGAUGAGGUCCAGGUGUGCGUUAUAAUGGGGAGCAAGUGUGCGUAAUGAUGAUUGCCAGGGGCGGUGGUUAGUAGACUGGCAACGUCGAGCAGGAGUAGGCGUGACAGUACCAGGAGUAGCAGGUUCCUGGAGGAGAGCCAGACGCGAUCACCAGGAUGGAACAUGGGAGCCUUACUGCGGUGGCAUUCACCUGCUCCUUCUGGCGGUGGAUGGCACGCUGGAGCCUCACGUGGGCAGCGUUGCAAACCUCCUCUGUGCACCAAAACCACUUGUCCACUGCAGGGGCCUCGGUCUGGCCACGGGGCCAGGGCCAGCUGAUGCCCCAGGACGCAAUGGAAGGAGGUCAGCCUGGUGGAGGAGUGACGAAGUGAGUUCUGGGCGUACUCUGCUUUCACAAGGCAAUUCAGAGAAACAGAUGGUAAUUUUUGUGUGCAUAGAAAUGAGUCUCGAGUGCAUCCAUGUGUGUGUGCCGCGGCGACUUUUCUUCACAAUAAACGAACCGGCUCAGAACCGCCCAGGGUAUGAUGCCUUGUCCUCUUGUAACUGUACAUUGCCCCCCCCACUCACUCAGUCUGGCUUUAAACAUACUCUUGUAAUAGUAGAAUGGACAAGGUGCAAUUUCGAAAUUGGGUAGUGCAUCAUCAGUUCCUCUUGUCAUGUUGGUCAUUGCAGACCUUAGAGAGCUAGAAAUGUCCAGAUCAACUAACCCAUGUCCAGCUGAUGUAUUUUUAUUUCGAUUUUUUAUCCCAUUUAUAUUGUUGUAAUUUUUUAGUCACUCAAAUAUCACAUUAAUACACAUUAGACAUGGCAAAAUGUAUAGAAUUUCAUGAAAAUUACAUUUUCUUUGAAACCCAUGACAAAAUUUGAAGAAUUCCAGGACAUAAGCUAUAAAACUGCAAAAUUCUCUCCACCAACCAGUUUGGACACUACAUUACAGUAGAGUAGAGGGGCGGUAGGUAGCCUAGCAGUUAGAGCAUUGGGCCAGUAACCAAAAGGUCGCUGAUUCGAAUACCCGAGCCGACAAGGUGAUCAAUCCUACUCUGCUUCCGGGCUCUGUAGUAUUGAGAUUGGAAUGUGACUGUUGAACACAGAGACACUUGGACAUCAAAAGGUUGAAUAAUUGAACAGUAUUUCUGUAUUACAAGCAGUUGGAGUGGUCCAUGGACACUUAAGGAACAGUCAUGUCGAGCUUGUUUCAAUUGGUGACCUCAUGAAGGACAGGAGACAAACAUUACUGUUUCUUUGUUUGUAUACACAUCUCAAUUAUGGGAUUUGCAUCUGAAUGUUGAAAAAAUAAAUGAUUGAGUAUAGGAAUACCUUUGGAAAGAUAACAAUGUGAUCUUAGUUUUCUAAAUGAAAAUAGUUUUUCCUAGUAAUUUAGGAACAGUCAGUGGCCACGCAAAAACAAAAUUGCACACAAAAGGAACUCAGACAUUUUAAAUUAAGUGCUUCAUAAAAUAGAGUAGUAUUUAUACAGCACAUACAGAACUAGCAUUUCAUUCAUUCUGAGCAGCACAUCUGUCCGCCCCGGUGAGCACAGAUAUUACACGGCGGCAUGGAACGCCCCCUUUUCUACUAAGUAUAAAACCCACUUCCGACAAAAAUUUACAUUAGACCAGAAAAUGUUGAAAUGGUUCGCAACUCUACCAAAGGACAAGGCCAGAGAAUGGGGAGAUCAUUCCCACGUUGAAAUGGCUAAGAAAUCUACAAACUAAAGAACAAUUAUUCAGGCUGCAGUUGUUUAAGUACUUUAGUCUGGUAAACGCAUCCGGUCGAAUUACCAAAUUGUACUCUGAUGUAUCCAUUAUAACAAGAUACAUCUACGAAAGACUUUGAUCUCUGGUGGACAGACCAGAGACUUUCUGUCGACAAUCUAUCCAGCAGACAGACUGGAGAUCACAGAGAGGAACAACAAAGGCAUAGACUUGUAAAUAUGUAAAUUGCUAUUUAUUUUCGAAUGAGCGGUUGUUCAUGUUCAAAGUAUUAGCAUUUCCAUGAGUGUAGUUAUCAACUCUGAAUUUCCCACUUUUGAGCUGUCCCCACCCCUUUCCUUUAUCUACCAAGGCAUCAUAUCGGUAUCGUCCACGAGGGAUUUUUCUUUGUGUCAUGUUAGUAACCAAUGUAUGACCUACCUCUAUAAACAUUUUCCCGUGGUGCCCCAACUUCCUAGUUAAUUAAAGUUACAUGAUUAGUUUAAUCACAUAAGGAAUAAUUACACAUAGAUAAUUGAUUUGAUAAUAUAACAGUCUUCACAUUUAAUGAUAGUCAUGCUACGACAGUGCUGUAUUGUAGAGUUCAGUACAGUAGCGCACACUAGAGUAGAGUAUAUCGUACUGUACUCAACAUAUCUACUUUACUGUACUGAACUCUACUGUGCUUUACUGUGAUGUCCAAACUUGUGAAGAUGUCUGAUUGUUUCAGAUUUGGUCUGGUCCGAACCAACCACAUGUGGUCUUGUUUGGGAGAGGAGCUCAUUACAAUAAUAGCCCGUGUGUAGAAUAAUACCCAAGUAUGCAAAAUAAAGAUAUUGCACAUUUCUACCUUUGUGUACCUAUUCAGGAUUCAUCACCAUGAAGAUAAUUAUAUUAAUUUCCAUAGUUAUGUAUUUCUAUAUACUACAGAUCAGGGACCAAUGAUGUAAUUCUUUUACCAUAAUUCCAUUACCGGAUGUAAAUCCACUUUACCUACUGGAGCUCAGUAAGACAUCUUUGAAAAUCAAUUCGGAACAGAUAUUUAAGAGUUUUGUAGUUGCAUAAAAAACCUGAAGGAGAUUAUACUGUAAUUCUGUUAACAAACUUUGCAUCUGCACAUUUCCAGUAAAUGUGCUUUUGUGAUUUUUUGUGUGUAAAUUAUUCAAAGAAGUCAUUGUGCAUAAGAGAUGUAUGGUUUGUUUGGCAAACAAUUUAAUGUGAAAAAUCUGAGUCAAAGCAUAAUUCCAUUAUCGUGGAAUUGCCCG
ensembl:lncRNA